CCUACGGGAGGCAGCAGUGGGGAAUUUUGGACAAUGGGGGCAACCCUGAUCCAGCCAUUCCGCGUGAGUGAAGAAGGCCUUCGGGUUGUAAAGCUCUUUUGUCGGGGACGAAACGGUUACGAUUAAUACUCGUGACAACUGACGGUACCCGAAGAAUAAGCACCGGCUAACUACGUGCCAGCAGCCGCGGUAAUACGUAGGGUGCGAGCGUUAAUCGGAAUUACUGGGCGUAAAGCGUGCGCAGGCGGUUUUGUAAGCCAGAUGUGAAAUCCCCGGGGCUUAACCUGGGAAUGGCAUUUGGGACUGCAAGGCUAGAGUAUGGCAGAGGAGACUAGAAUUUCUGGUGUAGCAGUGAAAUGCGUAGAUAUCAGAAGGAAUACCGAUGGCGAAGGCAGGUCUCUGGGUCAAUACUGACGCUCAUGCACGAAAGCGUGGGGAGCAAACAGGAUUAGAUACCCUGGUAGUCCACGCCCUAAACGAUGUCAACUGGUUGUUGGGAGAUUUAUUCUCUUAGUAACGAAGCUAACGCGUGAAGUUGACCGCCUGGGGAGUACGGUCGCAAGAUUAAAACUCAAAUGAAUUGACGGUNUGAGACGNGCGACGACGACGACGAGGGAGGAGG
rnacentral:rRNA from 1 species